rnacentral:lncRNA from 1 species
GACUCUGCGGGCUCUCCCGCUGAACAGGAGCGAGAGCGCGAAAGAGGGGGAAACGGGAAAAAAAUCCCCCCGCCCGUGCCUGGCGCGGCGGCGGCCGGGGCGGUGCGGAGAGGAGCGCGGAGGCGCCGCCGCCGCCGCCACGGGGCACCAUCCCCGGCUCGGCCUCACGGUGGCGGUGCGGGCGCGGCGGGGACACCGAGCAAGAGACCGGGUCUGCGCCCGCCGCGAUCCCUGCGCACCACGGCCCUGCCCGCCACGGGGCGAGCCCGAUAAGAGGGCUGUGGACGUUCGGGUCUAGUUGGGAGAGACAGGGGUCCCUGACUCUUGAGCGGUCAGUCAUUUCCUCCCCAGUCCUUGUGGGUGACGUGGCUACGGUUUGGAGCAGCAAGCCCCCUCCCCGAACUAAAGGGCCUCUCCAAAGGUUAAGCCAGGGCAGUCAUUGAGGUCAAAACCAAUAUGUAGUUUCUUGACUGCAGGUGCCUGCACGACUCCCAGAAAGUCGCGUCUCCCCUAACCCCCAUGCCCAGGACCUGAGGACAAAGGUCUAGCGAUUGUCCAUCCCCUCCCCCAGUGAGGACAGCCGGGAAAGACCUGCCUUUGUUGUGUACAGGUGAGCGUCUUGUUCCGCACCACACAUCUUUUAAAAAAAAAAAAAAAAAAUCUGACUUUCCGUUUAAAAGGAGUAAACAAAAGUUUGACAGUCUGCUUAAGCAUGCCUGGUAACUCGUCUGUCACUGUGGGCAUGGGAAACACUUUAAACCUGACUUGGUUAAUUUAAUGCAUUAGGCGGCUUUCUAAAAGAUGCUUGACAAAUGGCAGCAUCAGACCAAACUGGCUUUUGUUUUGAUCUAAAAAAACAAAAAAAUAAAGAAAAGGGCUCCAUUGCCACCCCCUUUUGCCUGUAAACUGGAAAGCUUACCUCAUGUGACUGAAGUCUUAAGCACCAAUACAUAAUGAUGUUUAUAAAGGACGUAUGGAUAAGCUGCCUGUAAAUGUGAAGGUGGUAUCUCACUGUGUUAUCCAGACUGGACUCAAAUUUCUGGGCUCCAAUGGUCCUCUCACCUCAGCCUCCCAAGUAGUCAGGACUACAGAACUCCAUGGCAAUGUUUUGAGGAUUAAAGAGGAGAGUGAUGACUAUCCAAACGUCAGAGAACGCAACUAUGAGACUAGAGACACUGGAAAACUAAAAAAGUAACGGGCCUUUGCUGACUCAGGGAGAUGAUUUCCCAAGAGGGAAGAAAACUGGAACCUGAGAAAUAAGUGAUUUAGUAAUGUGGCUGCUAAAAUACGGAAAAACUAGAAUGAAUGGCUUACACAUUUUUGAAAUGAAGUUAGAAGAGGGUUAUACUGUGAAGAAGAAUGAAAAAGCCAAACAUUUCAUUCAGGUAAGCAUAUCACAUAGGAGAAACUCUAGGUGACUUUGGUUUGGCAGUGAGUUUUUAGAUACAACACCAAAGCACAAUCCAUAAAAGAAAAGAAAGAUAGAUAAGUUGGACUUCAUUAAAAUGAAAAACUUCUGCUCUGCAAAGACACUGUUAAGAGAAUGAAAACACAUGCCACAGACUAUGAGAAAAUAUGUGCAAAACACCUAUCUGAUAAAGGAAGUAUGUCUGAAAUACAAAGAACUCUUAAAACUCAGCAAUAAGAAAAUGAACAACCUGAUUAAAAUAUGGGCAAAAGAGCUGAAUGGAAACCUCCCCAAAGAAUAUAUGUAGAUGGCAAAUGAACAUAUGAAAAGAUUCUCAACACAAUAUGUCACUAGAAAAUUGCAAAUUAAAACAAGAUACCAGUAUACACUUAUUAGAUGAGCUAAAAUCCAAAAUACUAAGAACAGCAAAUGCUGAUGAGGUUGUGGAGCAACAGGAGCUCUCAUUCAUUGCUGGUGGGAAUGCAAAAUGAUGCAGCCACUUGGAAGACAGUCUGGCAGUUUCUUAAAGAUUAAACAAAGGCUUACCAGACACUCCAGCAAUUGCACUCUGUGUAUGUGUGUGUAUUUAUAUAUGUGUGUGUAUAUGUGUGUGUGUAUUUAUAUGUGUGUAUUUGUGUGUGUGUGUGUAUACAGGUAUCCACAGGGGAUUGGUUCCGGAAAGCUCCAUGGAUACCAAAAUCUGAGGAUGCUCAAGUUUCUUACAUAAAAUGGUGUGAGAUUUGCAUAUAAUCUAUGCACAUCCUCCUGUAUACUUUAUUUUUUAUUGUAUGUACUUAUUUUUUGAGACGGGUUCUCAGUUUGUCACCCAGGCUGGAAUGCAGUGGUGUGAUCACAGCUCACUGCAGCCUUAACCUCUGGGACUUAAGCAAUUCUCCCAGCUCAGCCUCCUGAGUAGCUGGGACCACAAGCAUGCACCACUACACGUGGCUAAUGUUAUUUUUUGUAGAAAUGGAAGUCUCACUGUGUUGCCCAGGCUAGGCUUCUGUAUACUUUAAGUCAUUUCUAGAUCACUUAUAAUACCUAAUACAAUAUAUAAAUGUUAUGUAAAUAGAUGUUAUACUGUAUUUUUAAAUUUUGUAUUUUUUUAAUUGUUCUAUUGUUAUUUUUUAUUGUUUAUUGUUUUGUUUAUUGUUGUUUAUUUUGUUUAUUGUGUUGUUUAUUGUUUUAUUGUUGUUUAUUGUUUAUUGUUUUUAUUGUUGUUUGGAAUAUUUUUGAUCCCAGUUGGUUGAAUCCAUGGAUGUGGAACCCAUAGAUAUGGCGGGCCAACUAUAUUUAUUAUUUAGAUCAAGAUAUAUUUCAAUAUAUAAAUUUAAAAAUCUUUUCUGAAAUAAAAGAAGAUUGACUCUUCUUUUCAAGUCAAAGAACAUACCAUGUGCCAGGCAAAAUUGAUUCAAACGUAUCUUCGUAAAACUAUUGGACAAGGGAUCUUCUCUUGCUACCUGAAUAAAUAGUGUGAAAAAUAUGGUUGUUGAAGAGACAAAGUAAUAGUAUCUGUCAAUUCAUUUUGAUAAACUUCAGUUUUGUAAGAGAUUAUAUAUAUUUUGUAUAUAUUUUGCAUUAUUUGUAUAUAUGCAUAUUUUAUAUUAUAUAUUUUAUAUAUGUGUGUGUGUUUAUAUGUAUGUGUGUAUAUAUAUAUUUGACUCUUUAUAUCCAUGGGUUCAUCUAAUUACCUCUGCUUCUAUUUAACAUUGUACUGGGCUGUUUUGUAGUGAUGUUCAGGGAAUACAAUCAGGACAGUGCAGUUCUGCUCUGUAGAGGAGUUUCAUGGGUGGAUGUUGAAGAGCCUCAAGUCACCUUCCCAACCCUCCUACCAAUAUAGCUUCUCCCUGACUGGUUGAGAUGAAGACUUAACCUGAAGAUUGGUUUGAUGUUACUGGUUUUCUGGUGCCCAGGUUAUAUGGUUUGGCUGUGUCCCCACCCAAAUCUCAUCUUGAAUUGUAGUUAUCAUAAUCCCCACAUGUCGUGGGAAGGACCUGGUGGGAAGUAAUUGAAUCAUGGAAGUGGUUUCUCCCAUGCUGUUCUUGUGAUAGUGAGUAAGUUCUCAUGGGAUCUUAUGGUUUUAUAAGGAGCUUCCCCCUUCACUCAGCUCUCAUUCUUCUCCUUCCUGCCACUGUGUGGAGAAGGACAUGUUUGCUUCCCCUUCUACCACGAUUGUCAGUUUCCUGAGGCCUCCCCAGCCGUGCUGAACUGUGAGUCAAUUAAGCCUUUCUCCUUUAUAAAUUACCCAGUCUCAGGUAUGUCUUUAUUAGCAGCAUAAGAACGGACUAAUGCACCAGGGCUCUCUUAGUGUUUGUUCUUCCCCAUCACACCCUUCACAUCUUUCUCUCUCUGUCCUGUCUUUCACACACACACAUACACACACACACACCCUUUAGCUCAUUACUGUAAUACUGUCGCUUCUGUCCUUCCCCAGUGUUCCUUAUUGGACAGAGGAGCUAGGGGAUAUGAGUUCACAGACCAAACUAAGAUAUCUGAGUAACACAACCACUUCAAAAUAAAAAAAUAAAAAAAAUCAUGGCCAGAUGAUGGAUAACAUCAGAAAGAGAUGCGUUAGAACAGAUGAACCAAGAGUUUAGAAUAAGCAUAAUAAAUAUAUUAAAAUAUGUAAGUGAGGAUAUUAGCAACAUGAUAAUAAUGAAAUACAUUGUAUAUGUACAAUUCCAGGUUUCAGGGUUUUACUUUUAGCACAUUAAAUAUGGCAUUCCAUUGUCUUUUGGCCUUCAUUAUUUCUGAUGAGAAGUUAGCUGAUUUUUCUACUCAUGGUUCCCUGUAUAUAGUAUAUGCUGUUUUUCUUGGUCAUUUUCCAGAUUUUCUGUUUUUUAGUAGGUUGA